CCGCUUCGGGAGGGCCUCGCGGCCUAUCAGCUUGUUGGUGAGGUAACGGCUCACCAAGGCGACGACGGGUAGCUGGUCUGAGAGGACGAUCAGCCACACUGGGACUGAGACACGGCCCAG
rnacentral:rRNA from 1 species